CGCACAUUGCGCCCCUCGGUACUCCGGGGGGCAUGCCUGUCCGAGCGUCAUUGAAAACUAUCAAGCCUGGCUUGGUCUUGGGCGCGGUCUUGGGACCCGCUCGCAACCCGUCGGCGGUGCCGUUCGGCCCUGAGCGUAGCAAGAUACUCGCUCUAGAGACUCAGCGGUGCCUGCCAGCAGUCUACCCCCCAUAGUUUGACCUCGGAUCAGGUAGGGAUACCCGCUGAACUUAA
rnacentral:misc_RNA from 1 species